rnacentral:rRNA from 1 species
CCUACGGGAGGCAGCAGUGGGGAAUAUUGGACAAUGGGGGGAACCCUGAUCCAGCGACGCCGCGUGAGUGAAGAAGUAUUUCGGUAUGUAAAGCUCUAUCAGCAGGGAAGAAAGAAAUGACGGUACCUGACUAAGAAGCCCCGGCUAACUACGUGCCAGCAGCCGCGGUAAUACGUAGGGGGCAAGCGUUAUCCGGAUUUACUGGGUGUAAAGGGAGCGUAGACGGCGAUGCAAGUCUGAAGUGAAAGGCGGGGGCCCAACCCUCGGACUGCUUUGGAAACUGUAUGGCUGGAGUGCAGGGGAGGUAAGUGGAAUUCGUAGUGUAGCGGUGAAAUGCGUAGAUAUUACGAGGAACCCCAGUGGCGAAGGCGGCUUACUGGACUGUAACUGACGUUGAGGCUCGAAAGCGUGGGGAGCAAACAGGAUUAGAUACCCUGGUAGUC